CAGGGGAGGAUAAACAGAGCUGCACCUGGUCUCUCUGCACAGCAGCCUUUCGCUGCAUGCUGGCACUGGAUCUCUGGGAUAUGCUCAUGCUUGGCUUUCAACCGGCCAGUGAGGCUAAAGGAACGGAGCCAUGAUACACAUGUAAGACUUUGCAAGAGGCAUCCGCUCACUCCUGGCCUCCGUUCACUCCAGGCCUCCGCUCACUCCAGGCCUCCGCUCACUCCAGGCAUCCGCUCACUCCAGGCCUCCGCUCACUCUAGGCCUCCGCUCACUCCAGGCCUCCGUUCACUCCAGGCCUCCGCUCACUCCAGGCCUCCGCUCACUCCAGGCCUCCGCUCACUCCAGGCAUCCGCUCACUCCAGGCCUCCGCUCACUCCAGGCCUCCGCUCACUCCAGGCUUCCGUUCACUCCAGGCCUCCGCUCACUCCAGGCCUCCGCUCACUCUAGGCCUCCGCUCACUCCAGGCCUCCGCUCACUCUAGGCCUCCGCUCACUCCAGGCCUCCGUUCACUCCAGGCCUCCGCUCACUCUAGGCCUCCGCUCACACUAGGCCUCCGCUCACUCCAGGCUUCCGCUCACUCCAGGCCUCCGCUCACUCUAGGCCUCCGCUCACACUAGGCCUCCGCUCAACUCCUGGCCUCCGUUCACUCCAGGCCUCCGCUCACUCCAGGCCUCCGCUCACUCCAGGCCUCCGCUUACUCUAGGCCUCCGCUCACUCCAGGCCUCCGCUUACUCUAGGCCUCCGCUCACUCCAGGCCUCCGCUCACUCCAGGCCUCCGCUUACUCUAGGCCUCCGCUCACUCCAGGCCUCCGCUCACUCCAGGCCUCCGCAAAAACUAAAAAUAGCCAAAAGAUAGCAAAAACUACGACUUUUUUCAGCAUUGUCUUCUCUUCCGUGUCUGUUGUGAGAGAGAGCUCAAAACAAUGCAGUGAUAUCCGGUUCGCGAACUAAUCAUUCGAUGUAACCAGAUCUUUUUGAACCAGUUCACCAAAUCGAACUGAAUCGUUUUAAACGGUUCGCGUCUCCAAUACACAUUAAUCCACAAAUAACUUAAGCUGUUAACUUUUUGUGGCUGACACUCCCUCUGAGUUAAAACAAACCAAUAUCCCAGAGUAAUUCAUUUACUCAAACAGUACACUGACUGAACUAAUGCAGAGAGAAAACUGAAGAUGAACACCGAGCCGAACCACAUAACGACAAACAGACUUACUCGUUCUAUUUGGGUGAACUAACCCUUUAAUGUUUAUGUCUCAUCACUCCGGCCGGACUGGAUCACAAUAAGUUAAGGGGCGUAACAUUUCCAUCACGCUUGAGGUAUUCGGCCAGUCACAACGCACUGGAUAGCUGGCCAAUUACAGCACACCUCGCUUUUCAGACCGAUGAGCCUUGUAAAAAUCAACGCAUUUCAGAAGGUGGGGCAUAGAGGAGAAACAAUAAUGUACAGUAUGUGGAAGUCUUAAGGCUUUCUGGGGAACAGAGGAGGGAGUGAGGAUGUAAAGAUGUGAUGGCUGUGAAGCACAGAGCAGGGGUUGUGGAGGUGGUUCUGACCCUCAGGAUGCCCUCUCUGUGCCCUGCAGGAGAAUCUGGACUCUGCUGCUUUUGGCACAUGAUGUGACAGAGUGAGUACUGCUCUCACACACAAAGACAAACACACCGUAUACUGGUUUAUGAUCUGCCAUAACUGGGCAACAUGUCCACAAGAGUCAACAUGAGAGUCGUUCAGAGGUAUCAGCAGUUAUGUAACACCACAUGAGAAUGCCACCAACAGGUCAAAGAGAAUGACAGAGGAGGAGGAAAGAGUGCAAUUUUUCCUGUGGCUAUAACAAAGGAAUGUUUGUUAGAUAAAUUCCUAAAUAUCUCUAAUGAUCCCUGUUACUGUUAUUAUAUAAAUCACUAGAUACUCGUCUGAAAGAAGAAAGUCAUAUACUGUACUGUACGUCUAGGAUGCUUCGAGGGUUAUUAAAACAUGGGCUAAGUUUCAUUUUUGGGUGAACUAACCCUUAUAGUAAGAGAUUUCUUUAUCAGCUCUUUGGACUCUCAUUCUGAUGGUACCCAUUCACUGCAGAGGAUCCAUUGGUAAGCAAGUGAUUUAAUGCUAAAUUUCUCCAAAUCUGUUCUGAUGAAGAAACAAACUCAUUUACAUCUUGCAUAGCAUGAGAGUGAGUAAAUUUUCAGUAAUUAAAAAUUUUUGGCUGUACUAUUCCUUUAACAGUCCAAAAGAAGUCAAAUAAAGCAUGCACAUCCAUAAUAAAAUGUGCCUUUCACACCCUCCUUGGGUGAAUAAAGGCCUCCUGGAUUCAUGUAUUUUUGUAAGAAAAAUAUCCAUAUUUAAAACAUUAUAAACAUUUUUAUCUCACUUCUGAAAAAAAUAUUGACUUAAAAGAUUAAAUGUGUAACAGCAUUAAUUUUAUAGAUCAAAUCCACACUAUUCCAGUAUGAUGACAAUAAUGCAAUAAUUAUUCAAAUAUUUAUGUGAACGCAGGACACAAGAUGCUUGUAAACUACAU
ensembl:lncRNA